UACUAAAAUAGCAAAAUUAAGUGUUUCUAGUUUAGGUCUAGAGGGUGUAAUGUGUUUACUUUUAGUAU
rnacentral:tRNA from 1 species